rnacentral:rRNA from 1 species
AUUCGCGGCCUAUCAGCUUGUUGGUGGGGUAACGGCCCACCAAGGCGGUGACGGGUAGCUGGUCUGAGAGGACGGCCAGCCACACUGGGACUGAGACACGGCCCAGACUCCUACGGGAGGCAGCAGCAGGGAAUAUUGCGCAAUGGGCGCAAGCCUGAUGCAGCGACGCCGCGUGAGGGAUGAAGGCCUUCGGGUUGUAAACCUCUUUCAGGAGGGACGAAACUGACGGUACCUCCAGAAGAAGGCCCGGCCAACUACGUGCCAGCAGCCGCGGUAAUACGUAGGGGCCCAGCGUUGUCCGGAAUCAUUGGGCGUAAAGAGCUCGUAGGCGGCUCAGCAAGUCGGCCGUGAAAACUCGGGGCUCAACCCCGAGCCGCCUGCCGAUACUGUCGGGCUCGAGGCAGGUAGGGGAGAUCGGAAUUCCCGGUGUAGCGGUGAAAUGCGCAGAUAUCGGGAGGAACACCGGUGGCGAAGGCGGAUCUCUGGGCCUGUCCUGACGCUCAGGCGCGAAAGCUGGGGGAGCAAACAGGAUUAGAUACCCUGGUAGUCCCAGCCGUAAACGAUGGGUGCUAGGUGUGGGGCGCAUCAACCCGUUCCGUGCCGAAGCUAACGCAUUAAGCACCCCGCCUGGGGAGUACGGAAUCGUCGACCGCAGGCUAAC